rnacentral:lncRNA from 1 species
CUCCUCCCCGAGAUCAGAGCUUUGUGCAGCCUCUUCUUAAGUUACAGGGAGUUAGAGCAAAAGGGCAUCUCCCGUAAUGGAGCUGCAAGGAAUCCCUUGCUUAGGCGCUCACGGUUAUCUCUCAUUCUCCCUCUCCCUUUUUCCCCGGGAACGUGAAAUGCUGAGAUGGAAAUCCUAGGGUGAAGAUCUGGGGUCCAUGAAUGCAGACCGAGCAGAGCUGAGGGGAAGCCAGUUGCCAGGUUGCAAACUGCCUUAUGGAGAGACCCACAUGGCAAAGAACAGAAGCCCUCAGUCCAAUACUUCACGAGGAACUGGAGAAGCCAGCUGCCAUGUCAUGAAGGCAUUCAGGCAACUUAGGAGAGGACCACAGAGCAGAAAAUGGAAAUCUCUGUUAACAGCCAAUGGGCACCUGAGGCUGACCAACAACCACAUGAAUGAGCUUGGAAGCAGAUCUCCCAGUCAAGCCUUCUGAUGAAACUGUGGCCCAGGUCUGACUAAACCUCAAGAGAGACCUUGAGUCAGAAUCACCUACCCAAGCUGCUCCUAGAUUUCUGCCCACAGAAACAGAAAUAUUUGUUGUUUUAAGCUGCUAAAUUUUGGUAUGAUGAGUUAUAUAGCAAGAACAGAUAUCAAAAUAUAAUCAUUGAUCAAGAGUUUUUUUUCAAUAUUAUGCAAACGCCAAUUGUACAUCUUUAGGAAUCCUUUUUAUUGUUAUGAACCUUUUCUGCCUGCCAUAGUAGGU